CGGGGCCGGGGCCGGGGUCAGCGCCGCGAGCCUGGGGCCCCGAGAGGCGCUCUCGCGGCGGCGGAAGGAUGCAGGAGCGCUCAGCUAAGGAAGCACAACUAAAGGAAAUCACUGUGCAGAUGGACAAGCUGAUGAGCACGCUAUUUAUGCAUUCAACAGUCUGUGGGCUCUAUCAGGCUGCCUGCUCUUUGCUAUCACCACCAAAUAAGAUAACAGGAAUGUUGGCAUGUACGUGCAGGGAAUGUUCUUCCAAAGGGGAUCACAGGAACCUGGAAGGCAAAGGGAUGCAUGGAAACUGGCCUAGCCUGUUAGCUCUUUUGGAGGCUGUUGAGCCCCAGAGGGAAAGUGACCCCCAGCAGGCAGGAUCGGCUCCCCAUUCUUUCAUCCUCAUCGGGCACCAACUCCAGGCCAAGCACUGUGCCCAGCACUGAGGAUGUACAGAGGAGCUGGUCCCUCCCCUCAAAGAGUUUGCAGACCAGUGGGAGGGACAAGCUAUAUACUCAUUGUCCCAGAAAGGGUCUUGCCUCUGAAUUCGCCCCCAAAACAAAGCUGGGCAUACAGCCCCAUGAAUGCUUCUUUAAUUGACGUAAUAAAAACUACAUCGUUUCAUUUCA